AGUUAGCUCAGUUGGUCAAACUAACGGCUCAUAACCGUUCGGUCGCUGGUUCGAGUCCAGCAAGAACCA
rnacentral:tRNA from 5 species